rnacentral:rRNA from 1 species
GGGGCUAGCGUUACUCGGAAUUAUUGGGCGUAAAGCGUGCGUAGGCUGCUUAGUAAGUCAAAAGUGAAAGCCUUGGGCUCAACCUAAGAAUUGCUUUUGAAACUACCAAGCUUGAGUACUGUAGGGGAUAGCGGAAUUCCUAGUGUAGGGGUGAAAUUCGUAGAUAUUAGGAGGAACACCGGAGGCGAAAGCGGUUAUCUGGACAGUUACUGACGCUGUUGCACGAAAGCGUGGGGAGCAAACAGGAUUAGAUACCCUGGUAGUCCACGCUGUAAACGAUGAGUGCUA